rnacentral:piRNA from 1 species
UGGGUGACUCAUUAUUCUAGCGUGCUAACU